rnacentral:tRNA from 1 species
GGAGGGGUGUUAUAGAGAGACAAAGUUAAGACCUAAUUCUACCCUCAAGGAGCUCUCGAAAAAGGAAAAAGAUUAGUAUGUCUGACUGAAGAAGUUCUGGGUUCAAAUCCCAGCUCCUCCA